AUUGAACGCUGGCGGCAUGCCUUACACAUGCAAGUCGAACGGUAACGGGCCUUCGGGUGCCGACGAGUGGCGAACGGGUGAGUAAUACAUCGGAACGUGCCCGAUCGUGGGGGGUAACGAGGCGAAAGCUUUGCUAAUACCGCAUACGAUCUACGGAAGAAAGCAGGGGAGCGCAAGGGCUUGCGCGGACGGAGCGGUCGAUGGCAGAUUAGGUAGUUGGUGGGAUAAAAGCUUACCAAGCCGACGAUCUGUAGCUGGACUGAGAGGAUGAUCAGCCACACUGGGACUGAGACACGGCCCAGACUCCUACGGGAGGCAGCAGUGGGGAAUUUUGGACAAUGGGCGCAAGCCUGAUCCAGCAAUGCCGCGUGCAGGAUGAAGGCCUUCGGGUUGUAAACUGCUUUUGUACGGAACGAAAAGCCUUCUUUUAAUACAGGAGGGUCAUGACGGUACCGUAAGAAUAAGCACCGGCUAACUACGUG
rnacentral:rRNA from 1 species